rnacentral:rRNA from 1 species
GAACGGGGAGGAGCCCAGAGCCUGAAUCAGCAUGUGUGUUAGUGGAAGCGUCUGGAAAGGCGCGCGAUACAGGGUGACAGCCCCGUACACAAAAGCGCAUGUGCUGUGAGCUCGAUGAGUAGGGCGGGACACGUGGUAUCCUGUCUGAAUAUGGGGGGACCAUCCUCCAAGGCUAAAUACUCCUGACUGACCGAUAGUGAACCAGUACCGUGAGGGAAAGGCGAAAAGAACCCCGGCGAGGGGAGUGAAAAAGAACCUGAAACCGUGUACGUACAAGCAGUGGGAGCACCCUUUGGGGUGUGACUGCGUACCUUUUGUAUAAUGGGUCAGCGACUUAUAUUCUGUAGCAAGGUUAACCGAAUAGGGGAGCCGGAGGGAAACCGAGUCUUAAUUGGGCGUUAAGUUGCAGGGUAUAGACCCGAAACCCGGUGAUCUAGCCAUGGGCAGGUUGAAGGUUGGGUAACACUAACUGGAGGACCGAACCGACUAAUGUUGAAAAAUUAGCGGAUGACCUGUGGCUGGGGGUGAAAGGCCAAUCAAACCGGGAGAUAGCUGGUUCUCCCCGAAAGCUAUUUAGGUAGCGCCUCGUGAAUUCAUCUCCGGGGGUAGAGCACUGUUUCGGCUAGGGGGCCAUCCCGGCUUACCAACCCGAUGCAAACUGCGAAUACCGGAGAAUGUUAUCACGGGAGACACACGGCGGGUGCUAACGUCCGUCGUGAAGAGGGAAACAACCCAGACCGCCAGCUAAGGUCCCAAAGUCAUGGUUAAGUGGGAAACGAUGUGGGAAGGCCCAGACAGCCAGGAUGUUGGCUUAGAAGCAGCCAUCAUUUAAAGAAAGCGUAAUAGCUCACUGGUCGAGUCGGCCUGCGCGGAAGAUGUAACGGGGCUAAACCAUGCACCGAAGCUGCGGCAGCGACACUGUGUGUUGUUGGGUAGGGGAGCGUUCUGUAAGCCUGUGAAGGUGGCCUGUGAGGGUUGCUGGAGGUAUCAGAAGUGCGAAUGCUGACAUAAGUAACGAUAAAGCGGGUGAAAAGCCCGCUCGCCGGAAGACCAAGGGUUCCUGUCCAACGUUAAUCGGGGCAGGGUGAGUCGACCCCUAAGGCGAGGCCGAAAGGCGUAGUCGAUGGGAAACGGGUUAAUAUUCCCGUACUUGGUGUUACUGCGAAGGGGGGACGGAGAAGGCUAUGUUGGCCGGGCGACGGUUGUCCCGGUUUAAGCGUGUAGGCUGGUUUUCCAGGCAAAUCCGGAAAAUCAAGGCUGAGGCGUGACGACGAGGCACUACGGUGCUGAAGCAACAAAUGCCCUGCUUCCAGGAAAAGCCUCUAAGCAUCAGGUAACAUCAAAUCGUACCCCAAACCGACACAGGUGGUCAGGUAGAGAAUACCAAGGCGCUUGAGAGAACUCGGGUGAAGGAACUAGGCAAAAUGGUGCCGUAACUUCGGGAGAAGGCACGCUGACAUGUAGGUGAAGUGAUUUACUCAUGGAGCUGAAGUCAGUCGAAGAUACCAGCUGGCUGCAACUGUUUAUUAAAAACACAGCACUGUGCAAACACGAAAGUGGACGUAUACGGUGUGACGCCUGCCCGGUGCCGGAAGGUUAAUUGAUGGGGUCAGCGCAAGCGAAGCUCCUGAUCGAAGCCCCGGUAAACGGCGGCCGUAACUAUAACGGUCCUAAGGUAGCGAAAUUCCUUGUCGGGUAAGUUCCGACCUGCACGAAUGGCGUAAUGAUGGCCAGGCUGUCUCCACCCGAGACUCAGUGAAAUUGAACUCGCUGUGAAGAUGCAGUGUACCCGCGGCAAGACGGAAAGACCCCGUGAACCUUUACUAUAGCUUGACACUGAACAUUGAGCCUUGAUGUGUAGGAUAGGUGGGAGGCUUUGAAGCGUGGACGCCAGUCUGCGUGGAGCCGACCUUGAAAUACCACCCUUUAAUGUUUGAUGUUCUAACGUGGACCCGUAAUCCGGGUUGCGGACAGUGUCUGGUGGGUAGUUUGACUGGGGCGGUCUCCUCCUAAAGAGUAACGGAGGAGCACGAAGGUUGGCUAAUCCUGGUCGGACAUCAGGAGGUUAGUGCAAUGGCAUAAGCCAGCUUGACUGCGAGCGUGACGGCGCGAGCAGGUGCGAAAGCAGGUCAUAGUGAUCCGGUGGUUCUGAAUGGAAGGGCCAUCGCUCAACGGAUAAAAGGUACUCCGGGGAUAACAGGCUGAUACCGCCCAAGAGUUCAUAUCGACGGCGGUGUUUGGCACCUCGAUGUCGGCUCAUCACAUCCUGGGGCUGAAGUAGGUCCCAAGGGUAUGGCUGUUCGCCAUUUAAAGUGGUACGCGAGCUGGGUUUAGAACGUCGUGAGACAGUUCGGUCCCUAUCUGCCGUGGGCGCUGGAGAACUGAGGGGGGCUGCUCCUAGUACGAGAGGACCGGAGUGGACGCAUCACUGGUGUUCGGGUUGUCAUGCCAAUGGCACUGCCCGGUAGCUAAAUGCGGAAGAGAUAAGUGCUGAAAGCAUCUAAGCACGAAACUUGCCCCGA